rnacentral:lncRNA from 10 species
CCCUGACAAGGCAAGCUGUCCUUCGCCGGCCCUCCCUCCCUUCCUCAAGCUACCACAAUAUUUAUUUUAACUCAAUCUGACCAAUCCUUUGUGUUUAAUUUUUAAAACAGCCUACCAUCCUAUAACAAAAUUCAAUAUUCAGUGGGCUUUCUUUAAAAAAUAAUAAAUAAACCCCCCACUGAUAUCCACUUGGCCUAAAAGGAAAAGUUGGGUUUCUGCUUUCCCUGAGAGCAGCACUCCCUUAUCCCUGGAACGCCGCGCCCUGCGUGGUUCCCCGCCCUCCCCACGCGCGGGGGCGCCCUGACAGUCCCCUGCUGCUCCUCUGCUGGGCGCCACAACUUUCCCCAACCCGUGCCAACUUCCAGGGCACAGCCUCUGCGGAGAGUAGCAGGGUACAGUGAAUAACCCAGACACUAAAAAGCAAGGCAGCGGGGGUCCUACCAGCGCGGCUUUUGAUGACGUCGGUGAAUCCGUCCUCAGCGGCAUUUUCUGGGGUCUCCUGCAGACCCCUCAGCUGUGCCAUAACCAAACGCCACGUGCCUCAGCUUCCUCACGCCCCAAACUUUGGAAGGCAGGUCACAUGGAAUCUACACAUGGAAGGACAUAGGCAUUGCAUGCAGGUAUCCGGAAUCAUUGAUAUUGGUCUUAAAAUUUGGAAGUUUCCACUUUUGCUAAGCCAUGUGAGGACACAACAAGAAGGCAUCACCAAUGAAGAAUAGGCCUUCAUCAGACAUCCAAUCUGCAGGCCUCUUGAUCUUGGACUUCCUAAUCUACAGAAUUGAGGCGUGAGCAUCAUCCAAUCAGUUGAAGGCUUUCAGGAAAAACACAAAAUUCUCCAAAGAAGAUGGAAUUCUCCCUCCAGACUGAAACACAGGAAUCUGUUUGAGUUUCCAGCCAUCGGAAUCAGGACUGCAACAUCAACUUUUGCCUGAAUUUCUAACCCACAACCAGCUCUACAGACUUCGGAUUUGCCAACCCCCGCAGUCACGUGAAUGAAUUCCUUUAAAUUUCCCUCUCUCUCUCUCUCUCU